rnacentral:rRNA from 1 species
UACGAAGGGUGCAAGCGUUACUCGGAAUUACUGGGCGUAAAGCGUGCGUAGGCGGUUGUUUAAGUCUGUUGUGAAAGCCCUGGGCUCAACCUGGGAAUUGCAGUGGAUACUGGGCGACUAGAGUGUGGUAGAGGGUAGUGGAAUUCCCGGUGUAGCAGUGAAAUGCGUAGAGAUCGGGAGGAACAUCCAUGGCGAAGGCAGCUGCCUGGAGCAACACUGACACUGAGGCACGAAAGCGUGGGGAGCAAACAGG